GACGAACGCUGGCGGCGUGCCUAAUACAUGCAAGUCGAACGCUUCUUUCCUCCCGAGUGCUUGCACUCAAUUGGAAAGAGGAGUGGCGGACGGGUGAGUAACACGUGGGUAACCUACCCAUCAGAGGGGGAUAACACUUGGAAACAGGUGCUAAUACCGCAUAACAGUUUAUGCCGCAUGGCAUAAGAGUGAAAGGCGCUUUCGGGUGUCGCUGAUGGAUGGACCCGCGGUGCAUUAGCUAGUUGGUGAGGUAACGGCUCACCAAGGCCACGAUGCAUAGCCGACCUGAGAGGGUGAUCGGCCACACUGGGACUGAGACACGGCCCAGACUCCUACGGGAGGCAGCAGUAGGGAAUCUUCGGCAAUGGACGAAAGUCUGACCGAGCAACGCCGCGUGAGUGAAGGAGGUUUUCGGAUCGUAAAACUCUGUUGUUAGAGAAGAACAAGGACGUUAGUAACUGAACGUCCCCUGAC
rnacentral:rRNA from 1 species